CAAAUCAUGUUGAAGAGUUUAUUACCGAAAUGGUCCCUCGACUAUUGCGAAAUUAUUAAUUUGGUCCUUGUCAAUUUUUCGUGCCUAAUUAAGUCCUCCACUUUGAAAAUGUUAACAAAUUUGGUCCUCCAUUUAUUUUGCUGUUGCACAUCCGUUAACUCGGGACCAAGUUGGUAAUUUUGCUAUAAUCAAGAGAUCAUUUCGGUCAUCAUAUGCACCAUUUUUUUCGAAAGUUAAUUACUAAAAUGGUCCAUUGACUAUAGCA